rnacentral:rRNA from 1 species
AGCGAACGCUGGCGGCAGGCUUAACACAUGCAAGUCGAGCGGGCAUCCUUGUGGUGUCAGCGGCAGACGGGUGAGGAACGCGUGGGAACGUGCCCUUCGGUUCGGAAUAACUCAGGGAAACUUGAGCUAAUACCGGACACGUGCGCGAACAGAAAGGUUUAUCUGCCGAAGGAUCGGCCCGCGUCUGAUUAGCUAGUUGGUGAGGUUAUGGCUCACCAAGGCGACGAUCAGUAGCUGGUCUGAGAGGAUGAUCAGCCACACUGGGACUGAGACACGGCCCAGACUCCUACGGGAGGCAGCAGUGGGGAAUAUUGGACAAUGGGGGCAACCCUGAUCCAGCCAGGCCGCGUGAGUGAUGACGGCCUUAGGGUUGUAAAGCUCUUUUCUCCGGGACGAUAAUGACGGUACCGGAGGAAUAAGCCCCGGCUAACUUCGUG